GUGCGUGCGCAGCUACCAUGCAGUCGAGCGGCAGCACGAACUACCUUGCUACUUUGCCGGCGAGCGGGGGACGGGAGGUAAAUGUCUGGGAAACUGCCUGAUGGAGGGGGAUAACUACUGGAAACGGUAGCUAAUACCGCCCAACGGCGGAAGACCAGAGAGGGGGACCUUCGGGCCUCUUGCCAUCAGAUGUGCCCAAAUGGGAUUAUCUAGGAGGAGGGGUACCGGCUCACCAAGGCGACUAUCCCCAUCCGGACUGAGAGGAUGACCACCCACACUGAAACUGAGACCCCACCCAUACUCCAACGGGAGGCAGCAAAGGGGAAAAAUUGCACAACGGGCCCGAGACCUCAUUGCACCCAUGCCCUCGAGUAUUGAACAAAGACAUUCCGGUUUGUAAAAUAAUUUCAACGAAGAGGAAGGAAAUAAGGCUGACUAACCUUCGCCGAUUGAACUGUUACCCGCAGACGAAACAACGCACCGUAUAACUUCCGUGCCAGCAAGCCGCGGUAAGUAAGGAGGGCGCAAGCGAUAAUUCGACAAUGAAUGGGCGUAAAGCACACGCAGGCGGACUGUCAAGUGCAGAUGAGAAAUCACCGAGCUUCAACCUGGGAACGGCAUUCGAAACUGGAAAGCUAGAGUCAUGUAGACGGAAGUACAAUUACAGGUGUAACGGUGCAUAUGCAAUACAGAUAUGCAGGAAUAGCCGAAGGCGAACGCCGGCCACCUUGACAAAGACACUGACGCUCAAGAGCGAGAAAGCGAGGGGAGCAAGCAGAACUACAGACCCUGGUACGCCCACGACCGAAAACGAUGUCAACUUGGAGGCUGCGCCCCUUCAGGCGUGCCUUCCGCACCUAACGCGUGAACGUCUAGGCCGCCUGCGGAGUACGGACGCAAAGCAUAAAACUCAAACGAAUUAACCGGCGCCCCGCACAAGCGGUGGAGCAUGUGGUCUAUAUUACGAUGCAAAGCCAGAAGAACCCUCCCUACUUUCCCCAGGUACAGCAGAACUUAUCCAGAAAUGGAUCGGUGCCGUAUACCGGAAACUACUGGAGACAUGGCGCAGCUAUGGCCGUGAUCAUCUUCAGGCUCGGGAAAUGGAGGGUUAAGUCCCACUACGAGCGCAACCCCUAUCCUUUUCUUUCAGCGGUUAGAACGGGCACUCAAAGGAGACUGCCAGUGAUAAACCGGAGGAAGGUGGGGAUGACGUCAAGUCAUCAUGGCCCUUACGAGUAGGGCUACACACGUCAUACAAUGGUCGCAUACAAAGAGAAGCCGCCCUCGCGAGAGCAAGCGGUCCUCAUAAAGUGCAUCGUAGUCCGGAUCGCAGUCUGCAACUCGACUCCAUGAAGUCGGAAUCGCUAGUAAUCGUAGAUCAGCAUGUCACGGUGAAUACGUUCCCGGUCCUGUACACCCCCCCCUUCCACCCCCAUUGGAAGUUGGGUUGCAACAAGAAGUUAAGGGUAACCCUUUUAACCCGUUAAGGGAGGGCGAUUUCCCCGUGGUCCUGU
rnacentral:rRNA from 1 species